rnacentral:lncRNA from 1 species
GUUAUCCUUGCUGGUUCUUUCAUGAGUCACCUGCCUCAUCAGUUCAACCAUAGCAUUUGUGACAUAAUUGGUCUUGAUUUUUGUUUGAAUAAGGUAACUGUUGAUUAUAACAAACAUUCGUAGCCUUCAAAGUUGAAUUUGUGUGUACGUGCUUAUCGAGCUGAGUUGUCUGCAACAUUUGGGUUAUGCUUCAUCAAGUCAUGUCCUCUUUUUAAACGAUGAUAUUUGGUUACCCAACUUUCUACAUAAAAUUGUUUACUCAAAUCAAUGUAAGUUGAUAUAUACGGAUGGCUACAUGUUUUUCCUCAUGGCUAAACACUUUUUAGUAAGUUAAAUUUUGGGACAUCUAUGGUUUAAUAUGAUUUAUAUUUUGUAUGAACAUGGGAUUUGUGUGGCUAUAUCGACAUCAACCUGGAAAUGUGGAUGCUGAACUCACCUCUCUAUAACGCCUAGGAGCUGGUGCUUGUGUUGGACUACUGAAAUAAUCAUUGAGUAUAACAGCUCUCAAGCUCAUCACAAUGCAUCUCUAAGUGCUUGUCACUCAUGAUGUUCUAUGAUUCAUCUUCUUACAUUAUUUUGUUAUGACUCGUAGAGAUUUACUUCUGGCUUUUAUCGUA